rnacentral:rRNA from 1 species
UACAGAGGUCUCAAGCGUUGUUCGGAUUCAUUGGGCGUAAAGGGUGCGUAGGUGGCGCCGUAAGUCGGGUGUGAAAUUUCGGAGCUUAACUCCGAAACUGCAUUCGAUACUGCGGUGCUUGAGGAGCUGGAGAGGAGACUGGAAUUCGAUGGUGUAGCAGUGAAAUGCGUAGAGAUCAUGAGGAAGACCAGUGGCGAAGGCGGGUCUCUGGACAGUUCCUGACACUGGAGGCACGAAGGCCAGGGGAGCAAACGGG